CAUCAAAGUAGCACCUUUACGAAGAUAAUUUUGUGGAUCCCAAACGUCAAAUUGGUUAGCAAAACAUUAUCCAGAAUAUUAGGUGGAUGCUCCACAGACUAAGUAAAUGGUAAACGAAAAGAGUUUGAAGAUCCAAUACUAAGGCAAAACCUGUCUUAUUUAUCCUUCAAAAGAUCAACGUAAAUAAGAUCCGUGAAAAGCCUUGGACUAAUCACUUUUGAUCACGAGAUCAGAUGUCAGUUUCCUAAUUCCCAGCAC
rnacentral:lncRNA from 1 species